AUGAAAUUAAAAUUAUUAAAUAUAAUUUUAUCAAUAAUAAAUAAACUUAAUAAUAAUAAUAAUAUUAUUAUUAAUAAUCUAUUAGAUUCAUUAAUAAAUAAGAAAUUAUUAUUAAAGAAUAUAUUAUUAGAUAUAAAUAAUAAAAAAAUAAAUAAUAUAAAAAGAAUAUUAAAUAAUAAUAAUAUAAACCCCGCGGGCGCCAAUCCGGUUGUUCACCGGAUUGGUCCCGCGGGGAAUAUUAAUAAUAAAUUACAACAUUUAAAUAAUAUAAAUAAUUGAAAUCUACAAAUUUAUAAUUAUAAUAAAAAUAUAGAAAUUAUAAAUACUAUAAAUGAUAAAUUAAUUAAUAAAUUAUUAUAUAAAAUAAUAACUUUAAAAUUAAAUAAUAUAAAUAUUAAUAAAAUUAUUAUAAGUAAACUUAUUAAUCAACAUAGUUUAAAUAAAUUAAAUAUUAAAUUUUAUUAUUAUAAUAAUGAUAUUAAUAAUAAUAAUAAUAAUAAUAAUAAUAAUAAUAAUUAUUAUAUAAAUAUAAUAAAUAAAUUAAUAAAUAUUAUAAAUAAUAAUAUAAAUAAUAAUUUAUGUAAUAUUUUAAGUUAUUAUUAUAAUAAAAAAGUAACUAUUGAACCUAUUAAAUUAUCAUAUAUUUAUUUAAAUAGUGAUAUUUUUAGUAAAUAUAUUAGUUUAAAUGAUAUAGAUAAAUAUAAUAAUGGUAUCUUAACUAAUUAUCAACGUAUAUUAAAUAAUAUUAUGCCUAAAUUAAAUGAUCAUAAUAUUUCUAUAAAUUAUAUUAAUAAUAUUAAUAAUAUUAAUAAUAAUAAAUAUAAUAAUAUAAUUAAUUUAUUAAAUAAUAAUAAUAAUAAUAAUAAUAAUAAUAAUAAUAUUAAUAAUAAUAAUAAUUAUAAUAAUAAUAAUAAUAAUUAUAUUGGUAAUAUUAAUAAUAUUUAUAAUAAUAUAACUAUUGAUAAUAUUCCUAUAGAUAUUUUAAUAUAUAAAUAUUUAGUUGGUUGAUCUAUUAAAUUUAAAGGUAGAUUAAGUAAUAAUAAUGGUAGAACUAGUACACUUAAUUUAUUAAAUGGUACUUUUAAUAAUAAAAAAUAUUUAUGAAGUAAUAUUAAUAAUAAUUAUAAAUUAAAUUAUAUCCCUUCUAAUCAUAAUUUAUAUAAUAAUUCUAAUAUUAAUAAAAAUGGUAAAUAUAAUAUUAAAGUUAAAUUAAACUUUAUUUAA
rnacentral:rRNA from 1 species